rnacentral:sRNA from 1 species
AAUUUUUGAUAUUGCUUUUCUCCAUGACUAUAAGAAUUCGAUUAUAAUCAUCAAACCGCAGAGAUAUUUGAUAGCAUUUAAUUACUACAAAAUUACAAAAUAUUUAGACAAUAAUUCAUAAACAUAUCAUAAAUAAGAUCAACAUUAAUAAAAUAAAUGGUUUUUUUACGGGACACGUUGGCAGGACGGGUUUGACAGGACGUUACUUAAUAACAAUUGUAAACUAUAAAAUAAAAAUAUU